UGGGGAAUAUUGCACAAUGGGCGGAAGCCUGAUGCAGCGACGCCGCGUGAGGGAUGACGGCCUUCGGGUUGUAAACCUCUUUCAGUAGGGACGAAGCGUAAGUGACGGUACCUGCAGAAGAAGCACCGGCUAACUACGUGCCAGCAGCCGCGGCAAUACGUCGGGUGCGAUCGUUGUCCGGAAUUACUGGGCGUAAAGAGCUCGUAGGCGGUUUGUCACGUCGUCUGUGAAAUCCUAGGGCUUAACCCUGGACGUGCAGGCGAUACGGGCUGACUUGAGUACUACAGCGGAGACUGGAAUUUCUGGUGUAGCGGUGGAAUGCACAGAUAUCAGGAAGAACACCGAUGACGAAGGCAGGUCUCUGGGUAGUAACUGACGCUGAGGAGCGAAAGCAUGGGUAGCGAACAGG
rnacentral:rRNA from 1 species